rnacentral:misc_RNA from 1 species
UUUUAUCUUCCAUCUCUAUUUUGCCAAUUUGUUUAUGCAACAUAAAAUAAUAUAUAUCUUUUGUUCAAUCCAUGUCAAUAUCUAUUUUAUUUUUUACAUUAUUUGAAUAAAACAUUCAAAAACAUGAACAUUAUAAAAAUAUAAAAAAUAAAUUUAGGAUUUAAAGUACAAAAUAAAAA